UACGUAGGCAGCAAGCGUUGUUCGGAGUUACUGGGCGUAAAGGGUGCGUAGGCGGUCCUAUAAGUAUGGUGUGAAAUCUCCCGGCUUAACUGGGAGGGUGCGCUAUAGACUGUGGGAGCUAGAGUGUGGGAGAGGAAAGUGGAAUUCCUGGUGUAGCGGUGAAAUGCGUAGAUAUCAGGAGGAACACCGGUGGUGUAAACGGCUUUCUGGACCAUAACUGACGCUGAGGCACGAAAGCGUGGGUAGCAAACAGG
rnacentral:rRNA from 1 species